rnacentral:lncRNA from 1 species
CUAAUGUGUACAGGGCAAGCGCGGAAAUUCGUUCGCGCUGUGCGGCAUGUGUGCUUUGUGCCAGCGUUCCGUGUGUAUACUACAGAACAGUAGCAGCGGUAAGACCUGUUUUCUAGGUAACUGGCUCGUCAGACACCAGAAGCAUGUCCCAGAGGAUGUCAGCGCAUGUCAGCUGGUGGGAUGCUCCUGCAAGCAGUACAAGUGAGUCUAUUCAAAACUGAACACGGAAAGAAGCCUGUCAUACAAAUUGUUACCGGUGUAAAAACAUUCUCCAGAGGUUUUGCAACAAUGUGCGAUAGCAAUGAUGUCCCAGCAGAAGAGAGGGUCUGUGUAGCUUUCGAGAAGGAGGAGAUUAGAUUCACGACCUUUGGCAAACACUGAACAUCUUGGUUUCCGAGGCAACCCCAGCUAAGCUUAUAGGUUGUGUUCAUCAUUGAUACACUUGACAUGAUGGAGGAAGCUGAAAAAGCCAUCAAGGCCGGUCAAGUCAGAUCAGCUGCUGUCCUCCGAGGUCACGGUGGCCUGAACAUCACAACCACGUGUGAUGAUUUUCUUGCAAAGGACGUUUGCCAGAGAAAUCAGUGGAUAGGAGCACAAGUACAGUAAGUCAGUUGAAUAUAGGCCUAUUUGAUCUCAAACAAGAGAAUAUCCAGCCAUUACUAGCUGUGAAAAUCGGAAAGAAAAUGCUGAAAUACCCUCAUGAGGAUUACUAGAUGAAUCCAUCAUCUUGAGGCUGAAAAUUAACUAACAACAGUGGAGUUGUUUAUUUAUGGGAACGCUUGUUUUUUGUCCAACAAUUGAUCAUGCUUUAGUAGUGCAGCCCGUCUAACCAAGUAAUUAAUCCCUUUUCUGACAGGCUCUUGACCAAUCAAAAGGCCAGAUUUGGCCCUAUACGACCCUCAUUUUAAAAAAAAGUUGAACGGGAAUGUACCAUUUUACACAGGGGUGCCGGGCAAUUUUGAACAGAUAGGAUUAAGGAACGUACCAUUUUAUGUACAUGUAUGUGCUUGGCUUAAACUAGACAUGUUCAUGUAUAUGGUGAGUGAUGUCAUCUGUAAAAAUUGAAAUAACAUAAUGGUAUAGGAAUUUAUUUACAAUUGUAAGUAGCCCCACUUUAUUCAUAAAGUACAUCUCCCCUUAAAAUAAAUGCAUGAUAAGAAUCAAAAGAAAGAAGAAAUAUGAUGUAUGAAACUUGGGAAAUAUGGAACUACUGUAAGUAGAAAUUCAGUACCGAUAGAGUAAGUUGGUGCAAUCUUUCCUUGCAUAGUGGAGGACACCCUCUUGAACUGUUUAUCCUUACGUACCCUCGUAAUAGCCUCAGUACAUGUAAUCGACUCGGUGAAGAUCAGAAGGGAUCAAUGAAGUCACAACGUUGAGUCAUUGAUGGACGACACACGUUCAAACAUCAGCCAAACCUGUCCCAUAUCUAGUCGUGUCGUGUUUCAUACGGGAGGCCUAGAUCUAACAUAAAUUCCCUGUGAAGCACAAUUUGCACGACUGAUCAUAGCCAAAACCAUCAAAUUAAGUUACACCAUUGAUACAGAAACAAUGUAAUGACCUUAAAACAUGCCUAGGACCAUGAAGGUACAUGUACAUGAAAAGUCUUGAAAACAGGUGAAUGUAAACCCACUGUAUAAGAAACUAUACUAAGAGUACAGCACACUGUCCAAUCCACCGCUCUCUCUAAUCCACAGAUUGAAGGUUCAAAUGUGUUACUGUUUGGGGAACCAAACUUUAAAUAACCCUCACUGAACAGAUGGUUAUGUGCAGCCUAUUGGGAAAGUACUAGCACAUGGUAGCUGGCCUUUGGAAGGUUUGAUGUUUGAAUGGUCUGAAUACUGAUCCCUGCAGAGUCCAAGAGAGUUCUUUUGAAUUUGACAACAUCGCAACCCAUUGAAUCAUUACAGUCUCUGUAAGAAAUGCCAAGCUUGUUAACUAUAUCAGCAAAUAAGAUGAUGUGAUUACGCGUUGUCGUUUGAUUGACACUAUGCAUGAAAGGCAUGGCAGUUGCAUGCAGAAAUCAUACAAACUUCCCUCAAUGCGCGGAUGAAAACAACAAAACCUUUAGCAGAGAGCGUCAACUGUUUCAGUUAGCCCUUCCAUGCUUUUUAUCGACAUGAAACAAAUUAUGAAAUCUUCAAAAAUGAUCAAGAUCUUAAAGUUAAAGCAUGUCAAGCACAAUCCUUUCAAACAAAUUAAAACAAAUUAAUUGACUUCAUUCAAACAGUCAUAUAAGGGUGUUCAUUUGCCCUCUUCUGCUUGGUUUUUCAUUUUCACAAGUAUCCAUUUUCACGUUAUCAUUGUCCUGAAUUUCACAUCAUGGUGUAAAAAAGCCAUACUGGAUUACUGCAAGAGUUACUAUUUUAUCUUUUACACUCAAGGUACCACAAAUCUGGUUUUGAAAUUACAAUAGACUUUAAUAACAACCAGUCUUUGAGUAUCUGUGUCUUUUGCUUUGUCUGCCUAUUCAUCUUCGUGAAAAAGUUUGUUAAAUUUAGCCGUAUGCUACAUGUAUAUGGGUCAUUCCAUGAAGUUCGGGCACAGUGGGUAAUAUACACAUUCCCACAUUCCACAUGUGCAGAGUGCUCUUUUGUGGUGAAUAUUAAACUUGAUACAUGUUUUAUUUUAAAGAUCUGUUGAAGCUCUAUCAAUGUCUACCAUACAUGGCUAAGAACGUUUGUUCCGUUUGUAAAUAAAAAAAGUAUAGCGUCCCCAUGUCUUUAUUGCAUGCAAAGAGUGGCAUAGAAAGUGUUGUUUUUGUUGUUGAAAUAAAAAAAAACUACCAUUUUCUUACUCGGAUAGAACUUGUAUGUGCACAUCAUACUGUGAACGAAAAAU